UACGUAGGGUGCAAGCGUUGCCCGGAUUUAUUGGGCGUAAAGAGCUCGUAGGCGGUUCGAUAAGUCGGGUGUGAAAACUUUGGGCUCAACCCAAAGCGUGCAUUCGAUACUGUUGUGACUAGAGUUCGGUAGGGGAGUGGGGAAUUCCUAGUGUAGCGGUGAAAUGCGCAGAUAUUAGGAGGAACACCGGUGGCGAAGGCGCCACUCUCGGGCCGAAACUGGACGCUGAGGAGCGAAAGCGUGGGUAGGCAAACGA
rnacentral:rRNA from 1 species